GGCGCUAUAGUGUAGUGGUUAUCAUUCGAGAUUCUGAUAUUUAAUUUCUCGAGACCCAGGUUCGAACCCUGGUAGCGCCU
rnacentral:tRNA from 1 species